UACGAAGGUCCCAAGCGUUAUCCGGAUUUAUUGGGUUUAAAGGGUGCGUAGGCGGCUUAUUAAGUCAGUGGUGAAAGCCCCAAGCUUAACUUGGGAACUGCCAUUGAUACUGAUGAGCUUGAGUAGAUUUGAGGCGGGCGGAAUGUGUCGUGUAGCGGUGAAAUGCUUAGAUACGACACAGAACACCAAUUGCGUAGGCAGCUCGCUAAACUCUUACUGACGCUGAGGCACGAAAGCAUGGGGAUCAAACAGG
rnacentral:rRNA from 1 species